rnacentral:pre_miRNA from 14 species
CCUUCACUUUAACAUGGAGGCCCUCGCUGUGCCUUUAAAAUAAGUGCUUCCAGGUUUGAGUGUGG